rnacentral:rRNA from 1 species
CCAAUCGAACUCGGAGAUAGCUGGUUCUCCUCGAAAUAGCUUUAGGGCUAGCGUCAUGUAAUAUAGCCAACGGGGGUAGAGCUCUGUAAACGACUGGGGCGGGCAACUGUACCCACCGUUAACAAACUACGAAUACCGUUGGUGGUACCAUGGCAGUUAGAACAUCGGGGCUAAGCUCGGUGCUCAAAAGGGAAACAGCCCAGACCAUCAUCUAAGGUCCCUAAAUUAACACUAAGUGGGAAACAAGGUGAAAUUUCUUAAACAGCGAGGAUGUUGGCUUAGAAGCAGCCAUUCAUUUAAAGAGUGCGUAACAGCUCACUCGUCAAGAGAUUUUGCGUGGAAAAUGUAACGGGGCUAAAGUGUUAUACCGAAGAUAUGGAUUUCGUUAUUCCUACGGGUUUAACGGAGUGGUAGAGGAGCGUUCCUAUCGGCAGUGAAGCUCAAUCGUAAGGUUGGGUGGAGCGUUAGGAAGUGAGAAUGCUGGAAUGAGUAACCAUAAGAAAGGUGAGAAUCCUUUCGGCCGUAAGAGCGAGGUUUCCAGGGCUACUGUAAUAAUCCCUGGGUUAGUCGGGCCUAAGCCGAGGCGUAGCAGCGUAGGCGAUGGACAUCAGGUUAAUAUUCCUGAACCGGUUAUAAUUUGUAUACUGUGUACGGUAAAUUAGUCGAAGCGGAUUAUUGGUAUAUAUCCGUCCAACUUAGCGGGAACGCAAAAGGAGUGAAAGUUAAUCUACGGAUUAACGAUUUUGAUGAAAGUACUGGCUAGAAAAGCAGAUAUACGCGUGGUUAUAGCCGCCCGUACCGCAAACCAACACAGGUGCUCGAGUCGAGUAGACUCAGGCUUACGAGAGACCCUUCGCUAAGGAACUCGGCAAAACAGCGACCGUAACUUCGGGAUAAGGUCUGCCUCCGCAUCAUUCGAUGCGAGUCGUGUUUCAAGCAAUUAGGUUAAGAUUAAUGGUAUAUAUGAGUAUCUUAAACUUCUUUACCGAGAUAGACAAGUCAAAUGGCUUAGCUUGGAACGCGGCAACCUCGUGUCAAACGAUGCGGAGGCCGCAGCAAAAGAGCCCACGGAACUGUUUACCAAAAACACAGGUCUCUGCUAACACGAAAGUGGAUGUAUAGGGGCUGACUCCUGCCCAGUGCUGGAAGGUUAAGGGGAGUGCUUUACGGUGCGAACUGAAGCCCCAGUGAACGGCGGCGGUAACUAUAACCGUCCUAAGGUAGCGAAAUUCCUUGUCAGGUAAGUUCUGACCCGCACGAAUGGAGUAAUCAUGUGGGCACUGUCUCGGCGAAGGACUCGGUGAAAGUGCAUUGGCGGUAAAGAUGCCGUCUGUCCAUGCCAGGACGAGAAGACCCCAUGGAGCUUUACUACAGCUUUACAUUGACACGGGUUACAUCAUGUGUAGCAUAGGUGGGAGGCUUUGAAGCAGAUACGCCAGUAUUUGUGGAGCCACAGGUGAAAUACCACCCUUGAUGUAGUCUUUGUCUUACCAUUGCCGUUAUCCGGUAAUGGGACCGUGUAUGGUGGGUAGUUUAACUGGGGCGGUUGCCUCCUAAAGAGUAGCGGAGGCGUUCAAAGGUUGGCUAGCUUCGGAUGGAAAUCGAAGUGAUAGUGCAUGCGCAAAAGCCAGCUUGACUGCGAGAAUUACAAUUCGACCAGAGUGGAAACACGGAGCAAGUGACCCGCUGUAAGAACAUUGUUCAUUGAAUGUGGGAUCGACAGCGCACACGGAUAAAAGUUACCCUGGGGAUAACAGGCUUAUAGCGCCCAAUAGUUCACAUAGACGGCGCUGUUUGGCACCUCGAUGUCGGCUCAUCACAUCCUGGAGGGGGAGCACCUUCCAAGGGUUCGGCUGUUCGCCGAUUAAAGUGGUACGCGAGCUGGGUUCAGAACGUCGUGAGACAGUUCGGUUUAUAUCCGGCAUGAUCGUUAGGAAUUUUGAGGAGAUCUACCCUUAGUACGAGAGGACCGGGGCGGACGAACCUCUAGUGUAUCGGUUGUGACCACCUGUUGCAUUGCCGAGUAGCUAUGUUCGGAAGAGAUAAGCGCUGAAAGCAUAUUAAGCGCGAAGCCCACUCCAAGAUUAGAAUUCCCUAUGAGCUCCCAGAGAGAAGAUCUGGUUGAUAGGUGCAAGAUGGAAGUAUCGUAAGAUAUGGAGUCGAAGCAUACUAAUAGAGCCAUCGCCUUUUUA